rnacentral:tRNA from 57 species
GCACCCUUAGCUCAGUUGGAUUAGAGCAUUUGACUACGGAUCAAAAGGUCGGGCGUUCAAGUCGCUCAGGGUGCACCA